rnacentral:misc_RNA from 1 species
CUACCUUGUUACGACUUCACCCCAGUCAUGAAUCCUACCGUGGUAAUCGCCCCUCCUUACAGGUUAGGCUAACUACUUCUGGAAAAACCUUACCUACCCUUGACAUGUCUGGAAUCCCGAAGAGAUUUGGGAGUGCUCGCAAGAGAACCGAACACAGGUGCUGCAUGGCUGUCGUCAGCUCGUGUCGUGAGAUGCCGGGUUAAGUCCCGCAACGAGCGCAACCCUUGUCAUUAGUUGCUACGAAAGGGCACUUAAUGAGAUCGUUGCGACAAACCGGAGGAAGGUGGGGAUGACGUCAAGUCCUCAUGGCCCUUAUGGGUAGGGCUUCACACGUCAUACAAUGGUCGGGACAGAGGGUCGCCAACCCGCGAGGGGGAGCCAAUCCCAGAAACCCGAUCGUAGUCCGAUCGCAGUCUGCAACUCGACUGCGUGAAGUCGGAAUCGCUAGUAAUCGCGGAUCAGCAUGUCGCGGUGAAUACGUUCCGGUCUUGUACACACCGCCCGUCACACCAUGGGAGUGGGUUUUACCAGAAGUAGUUAGCCUAACCGUAAGGAGGGCGAUUACCACUAGAUUCAGGACUGGGGUGAAGUCGUAACAAGGUAG